CUCUCUCUGAGGAUCCCGGGCCCAAACCAAAGAGCAAGUAUGAUUUUUAGAACUGUGGAACUUCAUCCUUUCAUUUUAGCUUCUCCUGCCUUUGCUUGCCGGAAUCGGGUGAAAGCAGAAUAUUUAAACUUCUGCCAAACUCCCAAGAAGCUGACUUUGCAAUGUGCAGUGUCAUUCCUCAGGUUGUUUCCCGCCCAUCAAAUGCCAGUGGCCUGGAUUGACCGUUGCCACUGUGCCUGGAGAGCCCAGGAAAUACACUAUGGUGAUGAAAACGACUGUGGCAAUCCAGCAGUCUGCUCUAACUGGAUGAUUGUAAGAGGGUAAAGAAGAUAGUGCUGAACUUUGUGAUGGUUUUAUAUUCCAGUAAACACCCAGUAAGACAACAUUGGAGGCAGCAGGGCCCAUAUGGGUAUUGGAGAAGCAACGGACAAAGUCAGACCCAGCCCAGUGGAUGAGGGCAGGGUCUCACUAGUGUUGGUCUCACCAGUGUUGAGUAGAAGAUGCCCGGAGUGAGUGAGACAACUUCCAGGACUAGAACUGUGCGUGGAGUCCAAACCAGGAGAGUUGGAGGAAAGAGGGCAGCUGAACAUCAUCUUUGUGGAUGGAAUCUUGCCAGGAACUAAUGAAUGCUUCAGUAGCUCUACUGGAUCUUGGGACAAUCUGGUAAACAGACAAGAUACUUUCUUGGAGCUUGGAAGGGAAUAUAUUAAAACUGAUAAACAAAUACAUAAAAUGAUCACAAACUGCUAAAAGAACUAUGAAGGAAACAAAGAGUGCUAACAAAGAACUAGGAAGCGUUGGAGAACACAGUUGAGAAUGAAUGGUUAAGAAAGCCAAGACUCGAAGAAUGAGAUGGAGCCAGCCAGGUUCAGAACAUAGCAGAGCAAUGCGUAACAGAGAGCAAUGCACAGCAUGUGCGAAGGUCCUGAGUCAGAAAAGUGUUGGCUUAUUGAAGGAAAUAAAGGCAUCUGUAUGGUUGGAGAAUGGGCAAGGUGGAAACAAGUUACAGAAGAGGGGCUUAUUGUGGGA
rnacentral:lncRNA from 10 species